CUCGUAGGCUGUUCGGUAAGUCAGGUGUGAAAACCCAAGGCUCAACCUUGGGACGCCACUUGAUACUGCUGUGACUAGAGUCCGGUAGAGGAGAUUGGAAUUCCUGGUGUAGCGGUGAAAUGCGCAGAUAUCAGGAGGAACACCAACGGCGAAGGCAGAUCUCUGGGCCGGUACUGACGCUGAGGAGCGAAAGCGUGGGAAGCGAACAGGAUUAGAUACCCUGGUAGUC
rnacentral:rRNA from 1 species